rnacentral:rRNA from 1 species
AUGGCAUCCCCGCCGCCGUCGCCGGAGCCGGACUGGGCCGGCCUCCCUGAUGAUGCCCUGCUUACAGUGUUCGAGCGCCUGGGCGCGCCGGAGGUGCUCAUGGGCGCCGGGGUCGUGUGCCGCAACUGGCUCCGCGUCGCCACCGGCGAGCCCGACCUCUGGCGCCGUGUUGACCUGUCCGACUGCUUCGACCCCACCAUCGACAUGGUGGCCAUGGCGUGCGCGGCCGUCGACCGCGCCGACGGCCGCCUCGAGCACUUCGCCGCCGAUUGUUUCGUCACCGACGCGCUGCUCUUCUACAUGGCCAAGAGAACUAAUGGGUUGAAAAGCCUUCGGCUAGUUAACUGCAUGAAAGUCUCACACAAAGGCUUGGUUGCUCUGGGCAAGAGAUCGCCCCAUCUCGAGGAGCUUGAGCUUACUACCUGCUCCAUCUAUAUUUCGAUGAAGGCUGUUGGCCAAGCAUUCCCACAGCUGAAGCGGCUGCGGCUGAACAACCGGUGGGUCAAUGUUGAGUGUGAAGAACAGUUCGAUAACCACCGUGCCCUCGACAUCGCCAGCAACAUGCCUGAGCUACGUCACCUUCAGCUCUUCGCCAAUCGGCUCCACAACAGUGCACUUGCUGCCAUACUUGACAACUGCCACCACCUCGAGUCCCUAGACCUGCGCCAGUGCUUCAACAUCCACAUCGACGCAGAGCUGCGGGCAAAGUGUGCAAGGCUUAGAGACGUGAGGCUACCCAAGGACUCGACCAAUGACUACGAUCACGAGGCGUACAUUGAGACGCUUGAGCUGAAUUCCCUUCCACUUCUUUUUGCCCACGAUGGUGUUUUUACACAGCAAUACCCCUUCCAUGGAUCUGACCACAGUGAUGAGGAUGAUCAGGAAGAUCUGGACGUAGCCCUUGGUCAUUUGGCUUUAUGA